CUGAAGAAAAAAAAUAAAAUAAAAACUUCCUUCGGUUUACCAUUUUUCUUCUUCUCUUCUGUUUCUUUUCUUCUUUCUGCUCCGUGUCACUAUUUGAAUCUCUGAUUAUCUCGUUUCCUUCAAAAUUCUUGUUCCCGGAAUUUGAUUCUUUUCUCACGUUUUAGAUUUGAAUUCCCAACGGGAAGCAACCUCCUUCUUCUUCAUGUUUCUCCCUUUGAAUCUCCCGAAAAUCUCGAGCUCUGUCGUGUAGUGACAAUUGGGAAUUUUUUUCAGCUCCGAUUCACCGUUUUUAAGAUCGAUAACGGAAGCUAGAGAUUCGAUUCCGGAUUCGGAUUGCAUUGAUUCCCACGGAUUUGCUGGGAAUCGAGUAGAAAAUGGCGAAGCGUGGAUAUAAGCUGCAGGAGUUUUGGCACAUUCCGCAAAUGUAAAUUGCUUAAAUAUUGGAAAGAAGACAUUACGGGUCCUUAUUACUGGUGGUGAUGAUUACAAGGUCAACCUUUGGGCGAUCGGCAAGCCUACUUCUUUAAUGUGUAGUGGUUCGAGCUUUUACUGGACAUAGAUCCAACUGUUCUGCUGUUGAAUGUCAUCCGUUUGGUGAAUUUUUGGCAUCAUAGAUCAAGUGACACGAAUUUGAAGAUUUGGGACAUCAGAAAGAAGGGAUGCAUACAGACGUACAAGGGUCAUACUCGUGGCAUCAACACUAUCAAAUUUACUCCCGAUGGUCGUUGGGUAGUGACUGGAGGACUUGACAAUGUUGUAAAGGUAUGGGAUUUGACUGCUGGAAAGCUUAUACAUGAUCACCGGUCUGAGGUUUAUUUGCGCUGUAACCCUGCGGGGAAUCAUUGUAAUUUGUAACCUUUCAGUUUCAUCUAUGAAAAUGAAUUAAAUUAUAAAA